rnacentral:rRNA from 1 species
UAACACGUAAACAACCUGCCUUCAGGAUGGGGACAACAGACGGAAACGACUGCUAAUACCGAAUAAGUUCCAAGAGCCGCAUGGCCCAUGGAAGAAAAGGUGGCCUCUACCUGUAAGCUAUCGCCUGAAGAGGGGUUUGCGUCUGAUUAGCUGGUUGGAGGGGUAACGGCCCACCAAGGCGACGACCAGUAGCCGGUCUGAGAGGAUGAACGGCCACACUGGAACUGAGACACGGUCCAG